rnacentral:rRNA from 1 species
AUGAACGCUAGCGACAGGCUUAACACAUGCAAGUCGAGGGGCAGCACAGGUAGCGAUACCGGGUGGCGACCGGCGCACGGGUGAGUAACGCGUAUGCAACUUGCCUAUCAGAGGGGGAUAACCCGGCGAAAGUCGGACUAAUACCGCAUGAAGCAGGGAUCCCGCAUGGGAAUAUUUGCUAAAGAUUCAUCGCUGAUAGAUAGGCAUGCGUUCCAUUAGGCAGUUGGCGGGGUAACGGCCCACCAAACCGACGAUGGAUAGGGGUUCUGAGAGGAAGGUCCCCCACAUUGGUACUGAGACACGGACCAAACUCCUACGGGAGGCAGCAGUGAGGAAUAUUGGUCAAUGGCCGAGAGGCUGAACCAGCCAAGUCGCGUGAGGGAUGAAGGUUCUAUGGAUCGUAAACCUCUUUUAUAAGGGAAUAAAGUGCGGGACGUGUCCCGUUUUGUAUGUACCUUAUGAAUAAGGAUCGGCUAACUCCGUGCCAGCAGCCGCGGUAAUACGGAGGAUCCGAGCGUUAUCCGGAUUUAUUGGGUUUAAAGGGUGCGUAGGCGGCCUUUUAAGUCAGCGGUGAAAGUCUGUGGCUCAACCAUAGAAUUGCCGUUGAAACUGGGGGGCUUGAGUAUGUUUGAGGCAGGCGGAAUGCGUGGUGUAGCGGUGAAAUGCAUAGAUAUCACGCAGAACCCCGAUUGCGAAGGCAGCCUGCCAAGCCAUUACUGACGCUGAUGCACGAAAGCGUGGGGAUCAAACAGGAUUAGAUACCCUGGUAGUCCACGCAGUAAACGAUGAUCACUAGCUGUUUGCGAUACACUGUAAGCGGCACAGCGAAAGCGUUAAGUGAUCCACCUGGGGAGUACGCCGGCAACGGUGAAACUCAAAGGAAUUGACGGGGGCCCGCACAAGCGGAGGAACAUGUGGUUUAAUUCGAUGAUACGCGAGGAACCUUACCCGGGUUUGAACGCAUUCGGACCGAGGUGGAAACACCUUUUCUAGCAAUAGCCGUUUGCGAGGUGCUGCAUGGUUGUCGUCAGCUCGUGCCGUGAGGUGUCGGCUUAAGUGCCAUAACGAGCGCAACCCUUGCCACUAGUUACUAACAGGUAAAGCUGAGGACUCUGGUGGGACUGCCAGCGUAAGCUGCGAGGAAGGCGGGGAUGACGUCAAAUCAGCACGGCCCUUACAUCCGGGGCGACACACGUGUUACAAUGGCGUGGACAAAGGGAAGCCACCUGGCGACAGGGAGCGAAUCCCCAAACCACGUCUCAGUUCGGAUCGGAGUCUGCAACCCGACUCCGUGAAGCUGGAUUCGCUAGUAAUCGCGCAUCAGCCAUGGCGCGGUGAAUACGUUCCCGGGCCUUGUACACACCGCCCGUCAAGCCAUGGGAGCCGGGGGUACCUGAAGUCCGUAACCGCGAGGAUCGGCCUAGGGUAAAACUGGUGACUGGGGCU